AUAGAUGGCCGUACGACCCUCAACACGCCCAGUCUCGUGGGAUCUCCGAAGCUAAGCAGGGUCAGGCCUGGUUAGUACUUCGAUGGGAGACCACUGCCUAGGAAUACCGGGUGCCGUGGGCA